AUGGCCUCUAUGGUUGCCGCCGCGCGCCUCGCCGGCGGGGUCUCGCGGCUGUCGGCUCAGGGUUCUACUGCCCGGGGCCUUCCGCCCGGCAGCCUGCGGCUUCCCCCGCCUCGCCGGCGUCUGCGCAGCGUCCGGUGCUGCGCGGUUCGCCAUCCCGGCGGCGGCGGCGGCGGCGGCGUGGACGCGGGGGAGGAGUUCGUCGGGUUCUUCCGGGAGGCGUGGCCGUACAUACGGGGCCAUCGUGGGAGCACCUUCGUGGUCGUUAUAUCCAGCGAGGUUGUGUCGGGGCCACACUUGGACCGCAUUUUGCAGGAUAUUUCACUACUUCAUGGUCUUGGCAUUAACUUUGUUCUUGUUCCGGGAACACAUGUCCAGAUUGAUAAACUAUUGUCGGAAAGAGGAAGGAAGGCUAAGUAUGUUGGUCAGUACCGAGUUACCGAUUCUGAUUCACUAGAAGCUGCGAUGGAGGCAGCUGGCAGAAUAAGGUUAACAAUAGAAGCAAAGCUCUCUCCUGGCCCUCCAAUGUUAAACCUCCGUAGACAUGGUGUUAUUGGUCACUGGCAUGGUCUUGUGGAUAAUGUUGCAAGUGGCAAUUUCCUUGGUGCUAAGAGAAGAGGGGUAGUUCAUGGUGUUGAUUACGGAUUUACUGGUGAAGUUAAGAAAAUAGAUGUUGCACGGAUAAAAGAAAGGCUUGAUAGUGAUAGCAUUGUUGUUGUGAGCAAUAUGGGAUACUCGAGCUCAGGAGAAGUUCUAAAUUGCAACACUUACGAAGUAGCCACCGCAUGUGCCUUAGCCAUAGAGGCGGAUAAACUUAUCUGCGUUGUGGAUGGUCAGAUAUUUGAUGAGAAUGGACGAGUCAUUCAUUUCAUGUCUCUGGAGGAAGCUGAUAUGUUGAUUAGAAAGCGUGCUAAGCAAAGUGAUAUUGCUGCAAAUUAUGUCAAGGUUGUUGAUGAGGAGGACCAUGAACCAUCUUUGAACAGAAAGGGGCAUCUUAAUGGGUACGCUGCUUCUUUUCAAAACGGUUUGGGUUUUAACAAUGGAAAUGGUAUUUGUUCUGGUGAGCAAGGGUUUGCUAUUGGUGGUGAAGAGCGAUUAAGCAGGUCAAAUGGCUAUCUUUCUGAGUUGGCUGCAGCUGCUUAUGUAUGCCAUGGUGGUGUUCAAAGAGUGCAUAUCAUAGAUGGUACAGUUGAUGGAUCACUGCUAUUAGAGUUGUUUACAAGAGAUGGUGCUGGGACAAUGAUUGCGAGGGAUGUUUAUGAAGGAACAAGAAUGGCGACGGAGGAAGAUCUUCCUGGCAUAAGAAAACUUAUCUACCCACUAGAGGAAUCUGGUGUUUUAGUGCGAAGAACAGAUAAAGAGCUUCUUGAAGCGUUGUAUUCAUUCUACGUUGUUGAAAGAGAUGGUUCAGUCAUUGCAUGUGCUGCUCUCUUUCCAUUUCCUGAGGACAAAUCUGGUGAAGUUGCUGCAAUUGCUGUAUCUGAAGAAUGCCGAGGAAGAGGUCUGGGGGAUAAGUUGCUUGAUUACAUUGAGAAGGAGGCAUUAUCCCUUGGUCUUGGCAAACUGUUCUUGCUUACUACACGGACAGCCGAUUGGUUUGUGCGGCGUGGCUUCUCAGAGUGUUCGAUCGAAUCUAUUCCUGAGCAGAGAAGAAAACGCAUCAAUCUGUCACGUGGAUCAAAAUAUUAUAUAAAGCAGCUCCAGCCAAAGCAUGCUGGUGUCCCUGUCAACAAUUUUGCUGGCAGAUGA
rnacentral:rRNA from 1 species